rnacentral:sRNA from 2 species
CCGCCCGUCAAACCACGAGAGUUGGUAAUACCAGAAGUAGGUAGCUUAACCGUAAGGAGAGCGCAUCCCAAGGUAGGACUAGCGAUUGGGGUUAAGUCGUAACAAGGUAUCCCUACGGGAACGUGGGGAUGGAUCACCUCCUUUCUAUGGAGAUAAUUUAUUAAAACACAUAGUAGUGUCUAUGUGUGACUGUUUGGUUCUAUUUAGUUUUCAGAGGUUAUUUUUAUAAUCUCUGAAAAAAUCAGAAUUGUUCUUUGAAAACUGAAUAUUAGAUGAAAUAUAAUUUUCUUACUUGUUAUUAGUAAUAAUAACAAUUAAAAAACAAAUUUUUGAUCAUUGCUGUAAGGCAAUGAUCUUAAAGACAUCAGUAAUAAACUAAAAUUACAAAAUUAAAAAUAAAUAUAAUAUAUUUAUAUGCCAAAUAGAUUUUUUCUAAAAAAUAGUAAGGGCGUAUGGUGAAUGCCUUGGAAAAUGGAGCCGAAGAAAGUCGUGACUACCUGCGAAAAGCAUCGGGGAGCUGGAAGUGAGCUUUGAUCCGGUGAUGACUGAAUGGGGAAACCUAACAUGUUUACAUGUUGUCUGAUCAGUGAAUACAUAGCUGACAUGACGGGAACCUUGGGAACUGAAACAUCUUAGUACCAAGAGGAAAAGAAAAUAAAAAUGAUUCCCCUAGUAGCGGCGAGCGAACGGGGAAAAGGCCAAACCAUCCUACGGGAUGGGGUUGUAGGACUUUUGUUAGAGUUACAAAAUUAACGUAUAGUAGAACAGAUUGGGAAAUCUGAGCACAGAGGGUGAUACUCCCGUAUACGAAAUGCGUUAAUCUCGAAGAAGUAUCCUGAGUACGGCGAAGCACGUGAAACUUUGUCGGAAUCCGCCGAGACCACUCGGCAAGCCUAAAUACUACCAUUUUACCGAUAGUGAACCA